AUCCGAAGGUUAAUAUUUGCUAAGUAUAAGUUAUACUUACAAUUGGUAUAGUAUUGCGUUGGCAAAUAUUAUACCGCUGUGUUUGUUAUUUACUUAGAUAUAAAAUACUGAAUAAAUUUCUAUUUUGUAUUAUUCAUUUACAUAUAGAAUACUGAAUACAAUUCUAUUAUUUACUGUUCCCGUCCAAACGUGAAAUAUUGAACAUUUUUUAAUUACUUUUUUCACCGAUCUAACAGUAUAAAUUAUAUUGUAACUUCCACAAUAUAUUAUAUUUUUUCUUUUACGUUCCAACCGAUAAAUAAAAAUUACGAAUUUUUUUUCCUAUUCUAAUAUAAACAACGAAUUCAAAAUCAUUGAAAUUCUCGAAAAGUAGUUACAUGUCAAUUCGAAAAAUCGACUUUUCUCCCACGUUUAUACGUAUAGUAAUUGCCCCAAAAACGGUCGUGUUACGCUUUCUCCAAAAUAAAUACACCGAGCAGCGUUGCGGUGCGCGUAAUGUACAACAAUAUUUAUACUUCGGUCGUUUCGUAAUUCUCUCUCUUUCUCUCUCUCUCUCUCUCUCUCGUAUUUUGCGUUUUCACAUCAUGCAACAACGGUAAUGAGUACUCCAAAUAAUGUCGCUCGGGAGCACGGGAUGAACUUAUUCCUUUUAUCAAUCUUUGACGAAGAAAUUAGUCUCUUGCUCGUACGUCCUCGUUCGCCAUUCUAUUCCUGCUUCAAUCUCAAUGCGUAUGUAUUUAUAUACGUAUAUGUAUCUGUGUGUAUCUUUCAAUUUGAAAAACGCACAUGGCUGGUAUACUUCGAAUUAGAUUUUAUCGUUCCAAGAAGAAAGAAUAGAAAAGAAUAUGACGAUGUUCAAAGCUCAAAGAAAGAAAUUAAAAAAUUACAAAAAAUAUAUAUACAUAUAUAUAAGAUACGUGUGUGUGUGUGUGAAAGAUCAAAACCACCGAAGAAUGAAAUCGCAAGUAGAGUGGCUCGCGUAUAGGGAUCUUCGAAGAGACACGAGCACCCCUGUCCCUCUUUAACUAAAAUAAGCGGAAGUAAGGAGCGAGGCAACUCUAAAUUUAGAGCCUGGCGUGCGCUCAUCCUUCGUCCGUGUUAUUACGUUCAGCCUUGUCGUUGCAUAUCUACAUUGCCUCUGUUAUAUACGCACACGGCAUAUCUAUGAGAAGAGAAAAAUGAGACCAAUUUUACUCUAAAAUUUUUUAUCUAAAAUAUGCAGUAACGUAUGAUAAUACGAAUGAAAAAGAACACCAAAUUUUGUCCUUUAUGAAUUAAUAGAAAAACAAAAACAAAAAAAGAAAAAAAAAAAAGAGGAAGAAGGAACAAAACGAAAGAUAAAAAAGCAAAACGAAAAUAUUCCAGAUAAAAUACUAACCUACGACGAAGACAAAAUGUUCUACUUUUUCAAAUUCCAAUUUUUCUAACGGAGAGACGUAUAGCUUUUAUUCUGAAAGUUUCAGACGGAUUACAAAAGAGAUAAAUAGAUAAAUAGAUAGAUAGAUAGGUAGAUAGACAUAGAGAAACAGAGAGAGAGAGAGAGAAAGAGAGAGAAAGAGAGAAAGAGAGAGAAAGAGAAAUUGAUUGAAUAUGUACAAGCGCGUAAGAGUUUACGCAUUGACCUGACUGCGUCUGUGAAUAAUGCGUGUGUACGUGCGUGAGGCAGAGACCAGCUGACUGCCAAAACAGCUGUAGCGAUAUACGAUGAUGCAUCGUGGGGUGUUCGCCUCGUUCCGUUUCUCUCCUUCUUCCUCCCACCCUUCUCACCGCACCCUCUCUUUCCCUCUCUCUCUCUCUCUUUCUCUCUUUCUCUCUCUACCUAUAUCCGUCUUUCUCGUCAGUCGAUUGGAGGAGGGUUUUCAGACUGACUGUGAUUUAGCCUCGUAUUUAUGUCUAGUUUCUGGCGUGUUACGCUCUCAGCGAGCCAUUUCGAUUUUCAUCGUAACCGUUUGUUCUCCCACAAAAUAAAGACACUGUAUUAGGAUUAAGUUUUUAAGUUCUCAAUAAGUAGAAAAUGUGAACGUUGCUUAAAUGUCCAGAAUCAAUCGAUCGAGAUAUUUGAAAUGGAUUUGGGCUAUCGUGUUGUGGAAGAGCGUGAGGGGUGGGUGAUGGGGAGAAGAAAAGCAUCAAAGUAUUGCAUCGUUAUGCGCGUAAUGUUUGUCUUGAUAAAUUUUCAUAUGCUCUAGAAAUAUGAAGGAGAGAGAGAGAGAGAGAGAGAGAGAGAGAUAGAGAUAGAGAAAUAGAGAAAGAGAGAGAGAGAGAACACGUUACAUGCUCUUCAUACGUUUAUCGUCUCACAAAUACGUCGCUCGCAAGGAUAUAAAAUUUAACGCUUGCUCCUACAAAGCACGAGCAAAACGUAAAGUACAUUUUCCUCGACCGAUAGCGACCUACACCGAAUGCAUAAAAAUGGUCUAAAAUGUGAUGCAUCAUAUUGGUAGUAAAAAUAAAAAAAAAAUAAAUAAAUAGAAAAGAAAAAGAAAAAGAAAAAGAAUUAAAAAUUGAAAACAAUAGGAAAUAUAUUGAAACUAUAAUCUGUCGACGAAUCGGUUAAUUCACUUAUGAAUUAACGAUAAUUUAAAAUACGAGCUCGAACGUCGUAAGGAAAUUAUUUCACGAGAUGUCGAUAUUAAGGAAAUUAAAAAGAGAAAUAAAUAAAUAAUAAAAGAAAAAAAUAGAAAUCUCAUUUGCGAGAUCAUACGAAAGGUUCGAAUAAAAGUUUAAUACCUCGGUAUAUUACAAACUUGCUAGUUCUUAUCUCGCAAUGAACGAGUCCAACCGUUCUGAUAACGAAUAUAUGUAAGCGACACGCAUAAGACGGUACAAUAUCGAGAGAUUUUACAUGAAUCUCGAGGUCUAAUGUCUCCGAGAAAACGAUAAACCAUGUUUGACCAUCAAGUAUUAUGAGAUUCAUGAAUGUACUAUUGUUAAUUGUUCUGUCACCGCUAGAUUACGAUAGUUAUAUCAACUUAAGGAAAUCCACGUAUUACGCUAACUUUAAUCGUUAAAUUGGACUGUUGAUGAACAAGACAUAAAGGUACUUUCUAAAUCAACGAUUAUCUUUUAACUGAACGUUAUCUUCAGAUUAUAUUUGAUUUCUCUCUCUCUCUCUCUCUCUCUCUCUCUCUUUCUCUUUUAUCGAAAGAUCAGAUAUUCGAAACAUUCGAAUAUUCUCAAAAAGUAAAAUAAAAAUUGGCCUUGUUAAAAACAUUUUCUCAGUUAACGACAAUGUUAAAUAAAUUCUAUUCGAAUAAAUUAAAAAAUUAACUACACUGUUGAAUGUCAAUUAUUGUUUCAUAAUAAUACUAAUUAUUAAUUGGAUUUCAAAUAAAUAAAAUAAAACGAUAACCGAAUAAAGUAAAUAAAAUAAAUCGAUAAACGAAUAAAUAAAAUUUAACGAUCAUAUCGUUAAUGUUUUCUUUUUCUCGAUCGUAAUACGAAUUUACCUUUUAUCUCGAAUUUGUAAUCCUAUCCCUUUCGUUAAGUUUCAAGGGGGAUUAACGAUUUUCUAGUUAAUCCAUUUGGAAAAUAUCUAUUUCCUUUUAGUCGCCCGUAUAUCCUAAUCGAUAGGAGAAAGGAACGUAUCGAAGUCGUUAAAGUGUAUUUGUUGAGAAAAGCAGACGCCAUGCUCGGAUAAAAACUACCAUCAUUGAAAGAUAAAAUGAAACACGCCCAAAAACUGAUAUGAUUGAAUUAUGUGGACAAAUAUAAUCGUCGAACAUUCUGAAUAUGCGUGUUUGCCUUUCUAUGCAAUAGCAUAUUAAUGCAUUAAAUAUUUCAUACAUAUACAGAUAUGUGUAUAUACGGAUACAUAUAUAGAUAUGUGUAUAUACAAAUACAUAUACAGAUAUGUACAAACACAGUUAGAUAUACAGAUGUGUGUACACACACGCGUGCGCGCGCACACACAAUUUCUUUUCAUGUACGUAUCUAAUACAUUAUUAUCGUUGCAUUUCAAUGCUCGCUCAUUUUUACGUUGGUAUUGUUGUACUUUACGAGGCUUACCAAUCGCUAAAAGGUUAAUGAGAUUUUCGCAAUGCGACAAGGCAGAGUUUUAUCCGUUGUUAAAGGAACGAAUAAAAAUAAAAAAUACGUUGGCUUUUGACUGCUUAUUAAGAUUAAUUAUACGACCUCACUUUUUAUGAUUUUUCUUUUUACUCCUUUUUUUGUUUUCUUUUUCCCCUCUGUCUUCCUUUUUCUUUCUUUUUUUCUCAUAAAAAUGUUAAUUGUUGUUGUUAGAUCAGAGAAAUCUAAUCAUCUAACAUAUGUACGUAUUUAAAAAAAAAAAACAAGAACGUAGAUACUUUAAGAUGUUAAUGUUAAAUGAGUUAUCACGGGAUUACCACGACUGUUUAUGCUCACGUUAAUGACUCACCGAUGAUCUGAGAUUUUUCUCGUUGAUUUAAACGACAUCGACGGCUCGCGUACGUACCUGAAAUAAAAGAAAAAAAUUAAAUGAGCUUGUAUAAUGUAGGUAUUCGUGUAUCUCGUUUGGCCCUAUGACACUGAAACAGAUUAACGUAUUAUUAAAUGUAAAACUAUUAUAGUCAGUUUCUACUCCUUAUUAUCCCUAUUAAAGAUUCCCUUAUCGAAAAACUUCCGAAUGUCUUCCACAAAAUGAUUCCAUCUGUUCAACGAACAUUUUCAACGAAUGACACGCAUAAUAUCCAAUAACCGUAUGUUAUCCUUGAAUUUAUGUAACAACCAUUUGACCAUUAUUUGCAAGGCUUCCUUAGUCGUAUCUAUCUAACUUUACGAAGGCUGGCCGAUAGAUCGUUUGUUAUAUAACAAAUUUUCGUGUGACGAGUCGUAGACAGAAUAUAAUUCUUUUUCCUCUUUCUUUUCUUUUCUUCUCUUUUUUUUUCUUUUACUUUUCAUUUAUAUUUCGUUGAAAUAUCUAAAUGUACUUUACCGCUCGAGCUUAUACAAAAUCGAUUCAUUGAACGUAACGCAUACAAAAUGUCCAUAUAUUAUACGUGCAUACGUUAAUUUUCUUUUCGAUAACAAAACGCAGUAAAACGAGGAAUAGUCAUUUCUUCCUUUAAAGAAGCCAUUUCCUUUUACAUAACGUAUUAGCAAAAGGUAGGUAAAGCGACAAAAGCAUCAGUAGCAGUAGCCAACAGCAGCAAUAGCAACAGCAACAGCAACAGCAACAGCAACAGCAGUAACAGUAGCAGUAGGAGCAGCAAUAAUAGCACGUUUUGUGGAAGUAACAAUACGAACUUGCAUGGUCGAGCUCGACGCUAAUUUCUCUGGAGACGCACAAACUUUUGUUCCGCCCCGGAGGGUGGCCAUUCCUAUGGUCGAUAUGGCCGUGGCGCCGAUAAACGGCCUUAAAGUAGUAACACAGAUGGAGAACCAAAGAAAAAGAGAAAACUAGAGAGAGAGAGAGAGAGAGAGAGAGAGAGAGAAAGAUAGGAUGAGAGAAUGAGAGAAAGAGAGAUGAAAAGUAGGAAUCGAAGCAAAGAGGGUCAAUGCACUCGAGCUGCGAUGCUGGAUCCACCCCUAGGCACGCGCAAAUGACGUUGUUGAUGGAUCUGGUCUAUGAAAGGAAGGACGCAAAGUUAUAGAGAGAGAGAGAGAGAAAGAGAUAGGGAUGGUAAAAGUAGUGGGGAGAGGUUGCACGGGUGGUGAUUGAUGAGCCCUCCGGUCCAACCGAAUCACCCUACGGCGUAGUCUCGAUCGUUUCUUCCUAUCUCUCUCGUUCUCAUACUUUCAUCGAGCUGACCUCGUUCGAAUGAAUCGUCUUCUUAUCUCUUCUGCCAACUUUCUUCCACCUCUUAUAUUUUCUAUUUUCUUUUUUCUUUUUUCUUCUUCGGCCGUAGAAGUACUCCUGCUCGUCGAGAAAACGUAAAAUGUCUUGCAUCGUUUAUGAGUCAGGAGAAGUCUUCUCUCUGCAGACUACUCUUUACAGACUACUUUCGCAUCUUACCGUCUGAUACCAUCUACGAUUUUAUCUCCGCGAUCGUCCUCCUUUAUAUUUUGUUUCUUCGUUGUUCUUCUUCCAUUUCUUCUUUUUUGUUUCUUCCUUAACAUCUCACGAUCCACAGUUUUUCGUCAAUCAUUAAUAUCCUCAUCAAUAUCAAAACCAUCCUGUCGUUCCCGAAGGGGAAAAUGUGUCUCCCUUCGAAAUUCCCCUCUAAAAACAAAAUCAACUUCCAAGAGGUGCAUUUACGAUCGCAGAUUGGAGAUUUAAAGAUUUAGACAAUUUUGUACUCUAGAGAGAAAGAGAGAAGGAGAGAGAGAGAGAGA